rnacentral:rRNA from 1 species
CAGGCUUAACAUAUGCAAGUCGAGGGGCAGCAUGGUCUUAGCUUGCUAAGGCCGAUGGCGACCGGCGCACGGGUGAGUAACACGUAUCCAACCUGCCGUCUACUCUUGGACAGCCUUCUGAAAGGAAGAUUAAUACAAGAUGGCAUCAUGAGUCCACAUGUUCACAUGAUUAAAGGUAUUCCGGUAGACGAUGGGGAUGCGUUCCAUUAGAUAGUAGGCGGGGUAACGGCCCACCUAGUCUUCGAUGGAUAGGGGUUCUGAGAGGAAGGUCCCCCACAUUGGAACUGAGACACGGUCCAAACUCCUACGGGAGGCAGCAGUGAGGAAUAUUGGUCAAUGGGCGAGAGCCUGAACCAGCCAAGUAGCGUGAAGGAUGACUGCCCUAUGGGUUGUAAACUUCUUUUAUAAAGGAAUAAAGUCGGGUAUGCAUACCCGUUUGCAUGUACUUUAUGAAUAAGGAUCGGCUAACUCCGUGCCAGCAGCCGCGGUAAUACGGAGGAUCCGAGCGUUAUCCGGAUUUAUUGGGUUUAAAGGGAGCGUAGAUGGAUGUUUAAGUCAGUUGUGAAAGUUUGCGGCUCAACCGUAAAAUUGCAGUUGAUACUGGAUAUCUUGAGUGCAGUUGAGGCAGGCGGAAUUCGUGGUGUAGCGGUGAAAUGCUUAGAUAUCACGAAGAACUCCGAUUGCGAAGGCAGCCUGCUAAGCUGCAACUGACAUUGAGGCUCGAAAGUGUGGGUAUCAAACAGGAUUAGAUACCCUGGUAGUCCACACGGUAAACGAUGAAUACUCGCUGUUUGCGAUAUACAGCAAGCGGCCAAGCGAAAGCGUUAAGUAUUCCACCUGGGGAGUACGCCGGCAACGGUGAAACUCAAAGGAAUUGACGGGGGCCCGCACAAGCGGAGGAACAUGUGGUUUAAUUCGAUGAUACGCGAGGAACCUUACCCGGGCUUAAAUUGCAGAUGAAUUACGGUGAAAGCCGUAAGCCGCAAGGCAUCUGUGAAGGUGCUGCAUGGUUGUCGUCAGCUCGUGCCGUGAGGUGUCGGCUUAAGUGCCAUAACGAGCGCAACCCUUGUUGUCAGUUACUAACAGGUCAUGCUGAGGACUCUGACAAGACUGCCAUCGUAAGAUGUGAGGAAGGUGGGGAUGACGUCAAAUCAGCACGGCCCUUACGUCCGGGGCUACACACGUGUUACAAUGGGGGGUACAGAGGGCCGCUACCACGCGAGUGGAUGCCAAUCCCAAAAACCUCUCUCAGUUCGGACUGGAGUCUGCAACCCGACUCCACGAAGCUGGAUUCGCUAGUAAUCGCGCAUCAGCCACGGCGCGGUGAAUACGUUCCCGGGCCUUGUACACACCGCCCGUCAAGCCAUGGGAGCCGGGGGUACCUGAAGUGCGUAACCGCGAGGAGCGCCCUAGGGUAAAACUGGUGACUGGGGC